CAGUAGCCACGGGAAUACAGAGGGUGCGAGCGUUAAUCGGAUUUACUGGGCGUAAAGCGUGCGUAGGCGGCUUCUUAAGUCGGAUGUGAAAUCCCUGAGCUUAACUUAGGAAUUGCAUUCGAUACUGGGAAGCUAGAGUAUGGGAGAGGAUGGUAGAAUUCCAGGUGUAGCGGUGAAAUGCGUAGAGAUCUGGAGGAAUACCGAUGGCGAAGGCAGCCAUCUGGCCUAAUACUGACGCUGAGGUACGAAAGCAUGGGGAGCAAACAGGAUUAGAUACCCGGGUAGUCCCUGUCUCUUAUAA
rnacentral:rRNA from 1 species